GACUGGAUGGUGUAGUUGGUUAUCACGUAUCGCUCACAUAGCCACUGGGCAAGUGGAAGUUUAGUUAACCACAAUGUGUGCCGAUAAGGUCCUGGGAUCGAACCCCAGUCUAGUCA
rnacentral:tRNA from 2 species